UGCGAGGCGGAAAAUUUAACGAAGUAAUUUGGUCAGGUUCGGAAGAAAGCAGUCAAAUAGUUCGUUACUUUUUUUAGCCUCAAAUCU
rnacentral:SRP_RNA from 1 species